rnacentral:rRNA from 1 species
CGGCGGACGGGUGAGUAACGCGUGGGUAACCUGCCUCAUACAGGGGGAUAACAGUUGGAAACGGCUGCUAAUACCGCAUAAGCGCACAGUACCGCAUGGUACGGUGUGAAAAACUCCGGUGGUAUGAGAUGGACCCGCGUCUGAUUAGGUAGUUGGUGGGGUAACGGCCUACCAAGCCGACGAUCAGUAGCCGACCUGAGAGGGUGACCCGCCACAUUGGGACUGAGACACGGCCCAA